CUUUAAUUAAAACAAUAGGCAAAAAGUAUGUUGAGCACAAGCCCUGUUCAUUGCACUCAUGUUGAACAAGGGGGUGUACCAUGCACACAUAUGGCAGCUGAACUGAGAAGAAGGGGGGAUAUAGUUGGACACUUUGCCCCCCAAAGAUAACACUAAUGUGCAUUUCCACUGUAAAAGUUCUUGCAACAAAGCCACUGCUCUUCCAUUUUGCACAGAAAAUGUUGUUUCCUGCACAUAAUUCAGUACAUUUCUGCACACAGCCAACAACAACGAGAGGGAUGUUUGUUAAAAGAACUGAGUUGAAAGAUUAUACUGCAGUUAAAGUGCAAAUUCUAGUCAACAUUACAUACAUUAUUUUAACUGUAACACAACCCAUACAUUCUUAUUUAUCUCUUUGGAAUCGUUUGUUGCCCAUGAAAAUGUUGAGGUUUAUGCAGGUUAUUUUUGUGCUUUGAUUAGGGAGAUUCUUAACAGCAUUGCAGUUACUGACGAAAAUGAUAAUAUAUUGGGACACUCAAGGAAAGCUACUAUCAAGGGAAUCAGCCAAGUUGUAAUUUCCAGAAUAGCCAUGGCCGCCCCUGGGAUGAUUCUCUUACCGAUCUUGAUGGAAAGGCUGGAGUCUUUUCCCUUUAUGAAA